rnacentral:rRNA from 1 species
UACGUAGGCAGCAAGCGUUGUUCGGAGUUACUGGGCGUAAAGGGUGUGUAGGCGGUUCUUUAAGUUUGGUGUGAAAUCUCCCGGCUCAACUGGGAGGGUGCGCCGAAUACUGAGGGACUAGAGUAACGGGAGAGGAAAGUGGAAUUCCUGGUGUAGCGGUGAAAUGCGUAGAUAUCAGGAGGAACACCGGUGGUGUAGACGGCUUCUGGACCGACACUGACGCUGAGACACGAAAGCGUGGGUAGCAAACAGG